rnacentral:rRNA from 1 species
UACAGAGGUCCCAAGCGUUGUUCGGAUUCACUGGGCGUAAAGGGUGCGCAGGUGGUUUGGCAAGUUUGACGUGAAAGCCCCGGGCUUAACCCGGGAACGGCGUUGAAAACUGCUUGAACUGGAGGGUCGGAGGGGGACUGGAAUUCUUGGUGUAGCAGUGAAAUGCGUAGAUAUCAAGAGGAACACCAGUGGCGAAGGCGAGUCCCUGGACGAUACCUGACACUGAGGCACGAAAGCCAAGGGAGCAAACAGG